rnacentral:rRNA from 1 species
AUGAACGCUGGCGGCGUGCUUAACACAUGCAAGUCGAACGAAGCACUUUAACCUGAUUCUUCGGAUGAAGGUUUUUGUGACUGAGUGGCGGACGGGUGAGUAACGCGUGGGUAACCUGCCUCAUACAGGGGGAUAACAGUUAGAAAUGACUGCUAAUACCGCAUAAGACCACAGAGCCGCAUGGCUCGGUGGGAAAAACUCCGGUGGUAUGAGAUGGACCCGCGUCUGAUUAGGUAGUUGGUGGGGUAACGGCCUACCAAGCCAACGAUCAGUAGCCGACCUGAGAGGGUGACCGGCCACAUUGGGACUGAGACACGGCCCAAACUCCUACGGGAGGCAGCAGUGGGGAAUAUUGCACAAUGGGGGAAACCCUGAUGCAGCGACGCCGCGUGAGCGAAGAAGUAUUUCGGUAUGUAAAGCUCUAUCAGCAGGGAAGAAAAUGACGGUACCUGACUAAGAAGCACCGGCUAAAUACGUGCCAGCAGCCGCGGUAAUACGUAUGGUGCAAGCGUUAUCCGGAUUUACUGGGUGUAAAGGGAGCGUAGACGGCUGUGUAAGUCUGAAGUGAAAGCCCGGGGCUCAACCCCGGGACUGCUUUGGAAACUAUGCAGCUAGAGUGUCGGAGAGGUAAGUGGAAUUCCCAGUGUAGCGGUGAAAUGCGUAGAGAUGUGGAGGAACACCAGUGGCGAAGGCGACUUUCUGGUCUGUAACUGACGCUGAUGUGCGAAAGCGUGGGGAUCAAACAGGAUUAGAUACCCUGGUAGUCCACGCCGUAAACGAUGAGUGCUAAGUGUUAGGGGGUUUCCGCCCCUUAGUGCUGCAGCUAACGCAUUAAGCACUCCGCCUGGGGAGUACGACCGCAAGGUUGAAACUCAAAGGAAUUGACGGGGACCCGCACAAGCGGUGGAGCAUGUGGUUUAAUUCGAAGCAACGCGAAGAACCUUACCUGGUCUUGACAUCCCUAUGAAUAACGGGCAAUGCCGUUAGUACUUCGGUACAUAGGAGACAGGUGGUGCAUGGUUGUCGUCAGCUCGUGUCGUGAGAUGUUGGGUUAAGUCCCGCAACGAGCGCAACCCUUAUCUUCAGUAGCCAGCAUUUUGGAUGGGCACUCUGGAGAGACUGCCAGGGAUAACCUGGAGGAAGGUGGGGAUGACGUCAAAUCAUCAUGCCCCUUAUGAGCAGGGCUACACACGUGCUACAAUGGCGUAAACAAAGGGAAGCGAGCCUGCGAGGGUAAGCAAAUCUCAAAAAUAACGUCUCAGUUCGGAUUGUAGUCUGCAACUCGACUACAUGAAGCUGGAAUCGCUAGUAAUCGCGAAUCAGCAUGUCGCGGUGAAUACGUUCCCGGGUCUUGUACACACCGCCCGUCACACCACGAGAGUUUGUAACACCCGAAGCCGGUGGAGUAACCAUUUGGAGCUAGCCGUCGAAGGUGGGACAAAUGAUUGGGGUG